rnacentral:rRNA from 1 species
UACGGGGGGGGCAAGCGUUGUUCGGAAUUACUGGGCGUAAAGGGCUCGUAGGUGGCCAACUAAGUCAUACGUGAAAUCCCUCGGCUUAACCGGGGAACUGCGUCUGAUACUGGAUGGCUUGAGGUUGGGAGAGGGAUGCGGAAUUCCAGGUGUAGCGGUGAAAUGCGUAGAUAUCUGGAGGAACACCGGUGGCGAAGGCGGCAUCCUGGACCAAUUCUGACACUGAGGUGCGAAAGCGUGGGGAGCAAACAGG